rnacentral:rRNA from 1 species
GAUGAAGGCCUUCGGGUCGUAAACUGCUUUUAUUUGUGAAGAAUAUGACGGUAACAAAUGAAUAAGGGUCGGCUAACUACGUGCCAGCAGCCGCGGUCAUACGUAGGACCCAAGCGUUAUCCGGAGUGACUGGGCGUAAAGAGUUGCGUAGGCGGUUAGUUAAGCGAAUAGUGAAACCUGGUGGCUCAACCAUACAGACUAUUAUUCGAACUGGCUAACUCGAGAGUGGUAGAGGUAACUGGAAUUUCUA